UAGAGACAUAUGCAGUGAGUACAGUUUGUUAAGAAACAGUCGAAUUUAAAUUUAAGAAAAUCUAUUUUUACACAUAGCCAAAUUAAGACGCCAUUUGCAAUACACACCAGACAACCUAUGUUGGACACCAACACACUGAACAAUAAAACGAUAAUCUUUUCUGUAAGUACAAACACAUACAAAAAACUCAAAACAGUAACAGAAAAAGGAAAACUACACGUGAUGUAUAUUUUUAGACUCCUUGAAAAAGGUGAAAUAAAGUCACCGAAACUGUCGGAUUAAGAAACAAAAAAUCGUUUUUGCUUCUAUACACGGACUGAUUAAGCCGAUAAAUCUACAAAAUUAACCGCUACAGUCGACAAACAAACAAGUUCAUAACCAUGGCCACCGUUUUAAAAGUCCCUUUCUAUCAGAACGUAGAGCACAGGUACGGCAUACACGCGAAAAACAUGCUGAAGGAUUACGCAAAUACGAUCUCCAAACUGGGCAGCAUGUUAAGCCGAAAGUCUUUCCUCAUUCGCUGUCGAAAAACUGGCGUGUUCCCAGCACACAUCACAACGAAUUUUCGUUUUGUUUUCCCGUUACUGGAAGAUAACAGUCCAUUCACAAAAAAGCUGGAAAAAUGUAUAAACAAGUUCAAGAAAUCAGUUCUAAACAUAGAAAUCAAACACACUUUUCACAAACUGAAAAUACUAAAACAAUUACAAUAUACACUUACGGAAAAGAUAAAUAACUCAAAUAUACCAAAAAACGUAGCCGAAUCAUUCUUCAACAGUCAAACAAAGUUUGAAAACAAACAUACGCAGGAGAAAUCAAAAAACACAAAGAGAAAAUUUGACCGAAUUCUAGACCGUAAUAUCCAACCAUCGAGCACAAUACCUGUAUGUAAAAGCAAUGCCAUACAUAACAGCACUCAAAAAUCACUUCCAAAAGAAACAGAAAUACUGCUCAGUUUAGGCCAAAAAUUCGCACUACCAACCAACAUCACCCACAUACCUUUUUAUCAUCUCCUAGCCGACAUCGAAAGCAUACUUAAAACUAAUCCAGACGUUUCAAUCCAAGACCGCACAAGAUGCGCAAUAGCAAACUCAGUUCAAAAUUACAUCCACUACAAUAAAAACAACACAGAAAAAGGUGAGCUGACAAAAUUCUGUGAAAAAGCUAUAAAAACUACAAAACAAUUCUUUCGAGAAAAUCCAGAUGUACUCACGAUUCAAUCGGACAAAGGCAAUAAAACGGUCAUAAUGCUUGCAGAAGACUAUAAACAGAAAAUGCUCAGCAUGCUCAACGACAACAAAACAUAUCUUCCGAUACCACGCGAUCCAACAUCACGAUACCAACGAACAAAUAACGAAUUCGCCAAACGACUACUCAACCUGAAUCUUAUCGACAAACAGACAGCAACACGACUAACUACAUAUAAUGCCAUAUGCCCCAGAAUAUACGGACAACCCAAAGCGCAUAAACCUAAUGUACCACUAAGGCCAGUAGUGCCAAACAUGACCGCUCCCGCCUACAACCUGUCGAAAUUCAUCGGAAAAAUCAUACAAAAUUCCAUUGAUAGUCCAUACAACAUAAAAGAUUCGUUCACGUUCUGCAACUUUAUCUGCUCAGUUACACUGCCACCAGACUAUAUUCUAAUUUCUCUAGACGUCAUAUCGCUGUUCACAUCAAUUCCUAAAGCCCUAGUCACACACCACAUAAUAACACAAUGGGAGAAGAUCAAAGUUAAUACAAACAUAAACCUAGAUUUGUUCAUCGAAAUAGCUGAAUUUUGUAUCGAAUCAAGCUACUUCAAGUACAACGAACAACAUUUCCAACAAGUGUUUGGAGCUGCAAUGGGGAAUCCUCUCUCGCCCAUAAUAGCAGACUUAGUUAUGGAAACACUACUAGACACAGUAACACAGUCAUUAAAUUUCAAACCUCCGUUCAUCAAAAAAUAUGUAGACGAUCUCCUACUAGCAAUUCCUGAAAGUCAAAUAGGCCAUGUACUAGAAACAUUCAACAGCUAUAAUGAACAUAUUCAAUUUACAUAUGAAAUGGAAAACAACAAACGACUACCGUUCCUAGACAUGACACUGAUAAGACAGGAAAACCAAAAAAUUCAAACAGAAUGGUAUAUGAAACCGAUAUCCAGUGGCAGGUUCUUGGAUUAUAACUCGUUCCACCCGCUCCAUCAAAAAAUAAACAUGGCCAAAAAUUUUAUUCGACGAGUCGACAAACUAUCCACUCAUUUACAAGACGCCGACAAAGCCCGUAUCAUCCAUCAACAAUUGAGUCUCAACAACUACCCAAAAUCGCUCAGGAACAGACUCAUAAACCGCAGGCAAGAAAACAUUAUUACACUACAAGAAUCAUCCGAUGAAAACCUGAAAUAUACUUACCGUUCAAUACCAUACAUUCCAUACCUGUCGAACCGAAUCGACAAACACCUGAAAAACGAAUACAAAAACAUACGACUAGCACACCGCAACAUAAAAACAGUUGGACAAUUACUCCCAAAAGUUAAAGACCCCGUCCCCCAGGAGCACCAAAACAACGUCAUAUACAAGAUACCAUGCAAAAACUGCGACGCCUGCUACGUCGGAAUGACAACAAACAUGCUUAAAACAAGAAUCAGCGGACACCGAACGUACUACAACACUUGGGACAAACUACUACAGCAAGGCUACAACGCAACAGAUCCACAAAUUAGUUCACUAAAAGAAAAAACAGCACUAAUGUACCACAGCAUCACACAAAAUCACAGAUUCGAUUUUCACCAAACGAAAAUUAUAGACAGACACGACAAACCACACGCUCUACCGUUUAUAGAAGUAUGCCAUAUUGCCAACACAGAAAAUAGUAUCAACAAACGCACAGACACUGAGGGACUCAACACUGUAUAUGCUGGUAUUAUACACACAAUAAGAAAUAUCAAUCACAACAAAACCGAUAAACACAACAACCAAUAUGCAACCACAACCUAAAGUUUUUAGCGUAGCUCUCCAACACACUCACAACAAACUGUCAAGAAAUAGUAGACUACUGAAAAAGACACAAAACCUAUUGCUCUGAUUAAUUAAAUACCGCUCGAAGUUAUAUAGUGCUAGAAAAAGCAGUGCUAGAAAAAAGUGAUAACUGUUAUACAGUAUAGUGCACACAAAAAUAGAGACAUAUGCAGUGAGUACAGUUUGUUAAGAAACAGUCGAAUUUAAAUUUAAGAAAAUCUAUUUUUACACAUAGCCAAAUUAAGACGCCAUUUGCAAUACACACCAGACAACCUAUGUUGGACACCAACACACUGAACAAUAAAACGAUAAUCUUUUCUAUCAAAUGUAAAGAUUCACAAUAGUAAACCUCAAAUUCCGAUGAAGGAUGUGAUGUUCACUCUGCACGGAGAGAUGGUGACACCAGAUCUUGGAACUUGCACAUCAAUCCAGCCGAAAAACUCCAUUGAAAACUUUCAAUCGAUAACGUCGAGCGGAACAGCCGGCAGUUCGUGUGUACGAGCAAGAACAAAAACUUUUCGUUAAAAGCAAAAAGUUAUCUACAUCAUGCAAAUACCUGGGGUAGAAGAUAUACGGUAUGCAUGAAGCUGUAGUUACUCAACCGGAUACAAUGGAACGAAAGUGAAAGUCAGCCCCAAACCGGAGUGAUAUCCGUUUGAAGUGUUUUGUAGAAAUGUACUUUCUAUUUGCUCCAGUGUGCUUUUCUGGUUUUAGAUAAUGGCAGGCUAUU